rnacentral:rRNA from 1 species
UACGAGGGGGGCAAGCGUUGUUCGGAAUUAUUGGGCGUAAAGGGCGCGUAGGCGGUUUGGCAAGUCUAGUGUGAAAUCUUCGGGCUCAACUCGAAGUCUGCACUGGAAACUGCCGGGCUUGAGUAUGGGAGAGGUGAGUGGAAUUUCCGGUGUAGCGGUGAAAUGCGUAGAUAUCGGAAGGAACACCUGUGGCGAAAGCGGCUCACUGGACCAUAACUGACGCUGAGGCGCGAAAGCUAGGGGAGCAGACAGG